rnacentral:ncRNA from 1 species
AUAGUUUCGCGAUAUAGGGAAUGAGCGGCAGGUUGAGGAUCAGCAACACGACGUUGCCGAUAUACAUCGAUAUAAUCACCGCCCAAAAUAUUGAGGGGUUAUCGACCAUCAGACGCGGACC